AUUAAUGCUCCAUAUUACUAUAAGAUGGCAUCAUUUUAUAGUGAAAGCCCCGGCGGUUAGAGAUGGGCAUGCGUGACAUUAGUUUGUUGGUGAGGUAACGGCUCACCAAGACCACGAUGUCUAGGGGGUCUGAGAGGAUGGUCCCCCACACUGGUACUGAGACACGGACCAGACUCCUACGGGAGGUAGCAGUGAGGAAUAUUGGUCAAUGGGCGAAAGCCUGAACCAGCCAUGCCGCGUGAAGGAUGACAGCGCUACGCGUUGUAAACUUCUUUUGUACGGGAAGAAACACUUCUACUUGUAGAAGCUUGACGGUACCGUACGAAUAAGCAUCGGCUAACUCCGUGCCAGCAGCCGCGGUAAUACGGAGGAUGCAAGCGUUAUCCGGAUUUAUUGGGUUUAAAGGGUACGUAGGCGGGAAAUUAAGUCAGUGGUGAAAUCCUGCAGCUCAACUGUAGAACUGUCAUUGAUACUGGUUUCCUUGAAUGUAGUUGAGGUAGGCGGAAUGUGUAAUGUAGCGGUGAAAUGCUUAGAUAUUACACAGAACACCGAUUGCGAAGGCAGCUUACUAAACUACGAUUGACGCUGAGGUACGAAAGCGUGGGGAGCGAACAGGAUUAGAUACCCUGGUAGUCCACGCUGUAAACGAUGAUCACUCGUUGUUGGCGAUAUACUGUCAGCGACUGAGCGAAAGCAUUAAGUGAUCCACCUGGGGAGUACGACCGCAAGGUUGAAACUCAAAGGAAUUGACGGGGGCCCGCACAAGCGGAGGAACAUGUGGUUUAAUUCGAUGAUACGCGAGGAACCUUACCUGGGCUUAAAUGCAGAACGACGGACCGGGAAACUGGUCUUUCUUCGGACGGACUGCAAGGUGCUGCAUGGCUGUCGUCAGCUCGUGCCGUGAGGUGUCGGGUUAAGUCCCAUAACGAGCGCAACCCUCAUCAUUAGUUGCCAGCGGGUAAUGCCGGGGACUCUAAUGAAACUGCCGGUGUAAACCGAGAGGAAGGUGGGGAUGACGUCAAGUCAGCACGGCCCUUAUGUCCAGGGCUACACACGUGUUACAAUGGUCGGUACAAAGGGCAGCUACCUGGCAACAGGAUGCUAAUCUCGAAAACCGAUCUUAGUUCGGAUCGAAGUCUGCAACUCGACUUCGUGAAGCUGGAUUCGCUAG
rnacentral:rRNA from 1 species